AUUGAACGCUGGCGGCAGGCUUAACACAUGCAAGUCGAGCGGGGGAAGGUAGCUUGCUACCGGACCUAGCGGCGGACGGGUGAGUAAUGCUUAGGAAUCUGCCUAUUAGUGGGGGACAACAUCUCGAAAGGGAUGCUAAUACCGCAUACGUCCUACGGGAGAAAGCAGGGGAUCUUCGGACCUUGCGCUAAUAGAUGAGCCUAAGUCGGAUUAGCUAGUUGGUGGGGUAAAGGCCUACCAAGGCGACGAUCUGUAGCGGGUCUGAGAGGAUGAUCCGCCACACUGGGACUGAGACACGGCCCAGACUCCUACGGGAGGCAGCAGUGGGGAAUAUUGGACAAUGGGAGGAACCCUGAUCCAGCCAUGCCGCGUGUGUGAAGAAGGCCUUAUGGUUGUAAAGCACUUUAAGCGAGGAGGAGGCUACUCUAGUUAAUACCUAGGGAUAGUGGACGUUACUCGCAGAAUAAGCACCGGCUAACUCUGUGACAGCAGCCGCAGUAA
rnacentral:rRNA from 1 species